CCUACGGGGGGCUGCAGUGGGGAAUAUUGGACAAUGGGCGAAAGCCUGAUCCAGCCAUGCCGCGUGUGUGAAGAAGGCCUUCGGGUUGUAAAGCACUUUCAGUGGGGAAGAAAGCCUUGGGGCUAAUACCCUCGAGGAAGGACAUCACCCACAGAAGAAGCACCGGCUAACUCCGUGCCAGCAGCCGCGGUAAUACGGAGGGUGCGAGCGUUAAUCGGAAUUACUGGGCGUAAAGCGCGCGUAGGCGGUCUGAUAAGCCGGUUGUGAAAGCCCCGGGCUCAACCUGGGAACGGCAUCCGGAACUGUCAGGCUAGAGUGCAGGAGAGGAAGGUAGAAUUCCCGGUGUAGCGGUGAAAUGCGUAGAGAUCGGGAGGAAUACCAGUGGCGAAGGCGGCCUUCUGGACCGACACUGACGCUGAGGUGCGAAAGCGUGGGUAGCAAACAGGAUUAGAUACCCUGGUAGUC
rnacentral:rRNA from 1 species